AUUGAACGCUAGCGGCAGGCCUAACACAUGCAAGUCGAGCGAGCGGCGGACGGGUGAGGAAUGUAUGGGUACUGCCAGAUAGAGGGGGAUAACUACUGGAAUCGGUAGCUAAUACCGCGUACUAUCCGAUAACCCAUAUGGGAUUAGCUAGUCGGGGAGGUAAUGGCUCACCUAGGCGACGAUCCCUAGCUGGUCUGAGAGGAUGAUCAGCCACACUGGGACUGAGACACGGCCCAGACUCCUACGGAGGCAGCAGUGGGGAAUAUUGCACAAUGGGCGCAAGCCUGAUGCAGCCAUGCCGCGUGUAUGAAGAAGGCCUUAGGGUUGUAAAGUACUUUCAGUCGGGAGGCGUUACCGGCAGAAGAAGCACCGGCUAACUCCGUGCCAGCAGCCGCGGUAAUUC
rnacentral:rRNA from 1 species